rnacentral:rRNA from 1 species
GACGAGCGCUGGCGGCGUGCCUAAUACAUGCAAGUAGAACGCUGAAGAGAGGAGCUUGCUCUUCUUGGAUGAGUUGCGAACGGGUGAGUAACGCGUAGGUAACCUGCCUUGUAGCGGGGGAUAACUAUUGGAAACGAUAGCUAAUACCGCAUAACAAUGGAUGACACAUGUCAUUUAUUUGAAAGGGGCAAUUGCUCCACUACAAGAUGGACCUGCGUUGUAUUAGCUAGUAGGUGAGGUAAUGGCUCACCUAGGCGACGAUACAUAGCCGACCUGAGAGGGUGAUCGGCCACACUGGGACUGAGACACGGCCCAGACUCCUACGGGAGGCAGCAGUAGGGAAUCUUCGGCAAUGGGGGCAACCCUGACCGAGCAACGCCGCGUGAGUGAAGAAGGUUUUCGGAUCGUAAAGCUCUGUUGUAAGUCAAGAACGGGUGUGAGAGUGGAAAGUUCACACUGUGACGGUAGCUGACCAGAAAGGGACGGCUAACUACGUG